rfam:Planomicrobium sp. ES2 genome assembly, contig: CONTIG000001
CUCUUAUUAAGAGUGGUGGAGGGAAGUGCCCUAUGAAGCCCGGCAACCGUCAUGAAAAUGAAAUGGUGCCAAAUCACACAAAGUCUGACUUUGGAAGAUGAGAG